GAGCGUCAUUACACCACUCAAGCCUCGCUUGGUAUUGGGCGACGCGGUUUUCCGCGCGCCUCAAAUCUCCCGGCUGGUUCGAAUCGUCCUCAGCGUUGUGGAAACUAUUCGCUAAAGGUGCGCGUUUCGGUCACGCCGUUAAACAAGCCAACUCAUUAAAGGUUGACCUCGGAUCAGGUAGGGAUACCCGCUGAACUUAA
rnacentral:misc_RNA from 1 species